AAGCACCCCGGGAGGGGAGUGAAAUAGAACCUGAAACCGUGUGCCUACAACAAGUUCGAGCCCGUUAAUGGGUGAGAGCGUGCCUUUUGUAGAAUGAACCGGCGAGUUACGAUAUGAUGCGAGGUUAAGUUGAAGAGACGGAGCCGUAGGGAAACCGAGUCUGAAUAGGGCGCUUUAGUAUCAUGUCGUAGACCCGAAACCAUGUGACCUACCCAUGAGCAGGUUGAAGGUGCGGUAAGACGCACUGGAGGACCGAACCAGGGCACGUUGAAAAGUGCUUGGAUGACUUGUGGGUAGCGGAGAAAUUCCAAACGAACUUGGAGAUAGCUGGUUCUCUCCGAAAUAGCUUUAGGGCUAGCGUCGACAUUAGAGAUUCUUGGAGGUAGAGCACUGUUUGGGUGAGGGGUCCAUCCCGGAUUACCAAUCUCAGAUAAACUCCGAAUGCCAAUGAAUUAUGGUCGGCAGUCAGACUGCGAGUGCUAAGAUCCGUAGUCGAAAGGGAAACAGCCCAGACCACCAGCUAAGGUCCCAAAAUAAUUGUUAAGUGGAAAAGGAUGUGGGGUUGCACAGACAACUAGGAUGUUAGCUUAGAAGCAGCUAUUCAUUCAAAGAGUGCGUAAUAGCUCACUAGUCGAGUGACCCUGCGCCGAAAAUGUACCGGGGCUAAAACAAUUUACCGAAGCUGUGGAUACCUUUUAUAGGUAUGGUAGGAGAGCGUUCUAUGUG
rnacentral:rRNA from 1 species